GUGAACGCUGGCGGUAGGCCUAACACAUGCAAGUCGAACGGCAGCACAGUAAGAGCUUGCUCUUACGGGUGGCGAGUGGCGGACGGGUGAGGAAUACAUCGGAAUCUACUUUUUCGUGGGGGAUAACGUAGGGAAACUUACGCUAAUACCGCAUACGACCUACGGGUGAAAGCAGGGGAUCUUCGGACCUUGCGCGAUUGAAUGAGCCGAUGUCGGAUUAGCUAGUUGGCGGGGUAAAGGCCCACCAAGGCGACGAUCCGUAGCUGGUCUGAGAGGAUGAUCAGCCACACUGGAACUGAGACACGGUCCAGACUCCUACGGGAGGCAGCAGUGGGGAAUAUUGGACAAUGGGCGCAAGCCUGAUCCAGCCAUACCGCGUGGGUGAAGAAGGCCUUCGGGUUGUAAAGCCCUUUUGUUGGGAAAGAAAAGCAGCAGGUUAAGACCCCGCUGUUCGGACGGUACCCAAAGAAUAAGCACCGGCUAACUUCGU
rnacentral:rRNA from 1 species